UGGGGAAUAUUGGACAAUGGGCGAAAGCCUGAUCCAGCCAUGCCGCGUGUGUGAAGAAGGUCUUCGGAUUGUAAAGCACUUUAAGUUGGGAGGAAGGGCAUUAACCUAAUACGUUAGUGUUUUGACGUUACCGACAGAAUAAGCACCGGCUAACUCUGUGCCAGCAGCCGCGGUAAUACAGAGGGUGCAAGCGUUAAUCGGAAUUACUGGGCGUAAAGCGCGCGUAGGUGGUUUGUUAAGUUGGAUGUGAAAUCCCCGGGCUCAACCUGGGAACUGCAUUCAAAACUGACUGACUAGAGUAUGGUAGAGGGUGGUGGAAUUUCCUGUGAAGCGGUGAAAUGCGUAGAUAUAGGAAGGAACACCAGUGGCGAAGGCGACCACCUGGACUAAUACUGACACUGAGGUGCGAAAGCGUGGGGAGCAAACA
rnacentral:rRNA from 1 species